GAACUACUGCUCAAGAAACCAGGUGACCAGAAACAAACCCAGAUCAUACUGGUGGGUCGAUCCUUGGGGGGUCAGUUGCCGCCAAGUUCGCUCUAUGGCUCCUCAAGAACCAAAGUGAAAGGAAAGAUGCCCAAAUCAUAAACCCUAUAUGCAUUAUUUAUGGAUCCCCUUUCCUUGGAGACGCUGGGCUGCAGAGAGCCAUCAGCAUGGUUGAGAAAACUGAAGUCCCACUUCUGGCACAUCGUCGGAGACGACGACGUCGUCCCCCAUGCAUAAUGCAAGCAUCUCAUGUGGAUCCAGCUUCCCCAAUCUGGGAGACGUGGACUCUGCACAGCUGUGCAUCUAGGAGGAUGACAAUGGCGCCGUGCUUCAGCAACUCAAGGGGAAGAUCAAGAACAGAAGCAGUGCUCAACCACAAGGCAACUCCUCAAUCCAAAUAGGAUCAUAUCUGCAGCUACAAGCACUUGGAAUAAUUGCUCAUCAGCACCAGAGAGACGGUUGUGGAUAUCAGAAGAAAAGGUGCUCAAAAUCCUUUCAAGAAGUUCAAUGACGUGAAGAAGCCGAUGGCACUGCUGGAGUGGUACAUGAAGAUUUGAGAAGAAAGGGAAAUGGACUAAUAUGACUGCUUCAAAGGGAGGAGUGCAGAGAGGGACUAUGAUGUCAUCAAUUUCAAAAACAUCAUCAACAUGUACAGGAAGCAGAAGGUAGAGGAGGUCGACGAAAACAACUCGCAAACCGGCGACGUCCCACUCCGAGACAGGUUGCUUUUCUCGAGCACAUUGUACAGGCGCAUGGUCGAGCCGCUCUGACUUCAGAAAUGAAUAACAAACAAACCAUGUUAAGGAUGUGCAUAUUUUGACCAUGAAAUGGUUGCCAUGUCCUACAAGAUGUUAAGAUAGAACUACUUUUCAAGUAUUAAUUCAAGCCAGGUAAGGUUGGAUCAACUCCAAUUCACAUGUUGCGCCAAAGAAUGUAGAGAUGUUAACUCUUUGAAGGUGAGGAAGCUUUAAUUAGUCCCUGGUGUUGCUCUGGUUAUCGACGAUGAAGGAGCAGAUUUGCUCGCCUGACAGUGAGAGAUGAUCAGGAACGUCACUAUACCUCGCACACCAUUUAAGUUGUUUAAAUUAUGAAAAGUUGGAAGCUAUUCCGAAACUUACUGUUGUAAAUUACAGUUGACUGGAAUCGUGGUGGUGUUGGCUCUUAUCGUGAUUGACAACGCUAGUGAUAAGCCUAUCGUACCCCACAUUUAUAGCAGAAACUGCACGCACACCUGCAAAUCAUGUGGUUGCAGCC